rnacentral:lncRNA from 1 species
CACAGCGCUAUUACAAACACUAAACAGUUCACCUCAUACACACUAAACGUAUAACCAUACAUGCUCCUGCUUAGCUAUAUCAACCUUGGAAUUUUCCAUGAAAAUAAACCUACAAUAUUAGAACAAUACACACAAUAAGAAAAUGCGUAUAUAAAAUAAAAAUGGAGAACAAAGAGUAUAAUUAAGAACAUAUAAAGCCUUACAACUAAGUGUGCAUAAUCCUAUCAUGUGCACCCUUUUCUCCCUCACUGUAGAUAAACACCCACACUUGUUAUACUUGCAAUUCAAAUUCCUAUGGGUAGAUCCAUUGUGACCAGCUAACUUAUCUCCAUUCAUCGCUUGAACAUUACUCCCACCACUCUUCAGAAAACAAACCCAACAAAUAACUAAACCAUCAGCAACCUUGCUCAUAGCGAGCUUGUAUUUCUCAUGCAUAUCAUCAUACAUCUUGGAACUAAAGGAUGCUAUGCUUAGUUUGUGUUUGGAUAAAACUAUACUAUUGCAUAUAUAUAGAGCAUCAUAUAUAUGUUUGUUUUGAAGUGGAGAUGAU